rnacentral:lncRNA from 1 species
GGAGUUUGGGUUGGAUUUGUGGUAUAACAAUUUUAGGGGAGAUUAUGCCUUCUUUUUUUUUUUUUUUGGUUAUUUGACCAUAUUUGUUUUUUUGUAGGGAAUCAUCGAGACUUUGACGGCUAAAGUUGAGGAUUAGGAAGCUAUCAAAACAUAUCCUCCGCCACUACCACCACAAUACGCUUGUAUUAGGAUUUUAUUAUUGUACUUUGUUAAUUUAUGUGUACAUUUUGAAUAUUAUAUAUAUAUUUAUUGGAUAAUUUGAUCACUAUUUUUCAUAUGUAAUUUUAU